GGAGGUACAGAACGGUUUAGUGUUGUGAGGGAGGUACAGAACGGUUUAGUGUUGUGAGGGAGGUACAGAACGGUUUAGUGUUGUGAGGGAGGUACAGAACGGUUUAGUGUUGAAAGGAGAGAGAGGGAGGUACAGAACGGUUUAGUGUUGUGAGGGAGGUACAGAACGGUUUAGUGUUGUGAGGAGAGAGAGGGAGGUACAGAACGGUUUAGUGUUGAAAGGAGAGAGAGGGAGGUACAGAACGGUUUAGUGUUGUGAGGAGAGAGAGGGAGGUACAGAACGGUUUAGUGUUGUGAGGAGAGAGAGGGAGGUACAGAACGGUUUAGUGUUGUGAGGAGAGAGAGGGAGGUACAGAACGGUUUAGUGUUGUGAGGGAGGUACAGAACGGUUUAGUGUUGAAAGGAGAGAGAGGGAGGUACAGAACGGUUUAGUGUUGUGAGGGAGGUACAGAACGGUUUAGUGUUGUGAGGGAGGUACAGAACGGUUUAGUGUUGUGAGGGAGGUACAGAACGGUUUAGUGUUGUGAGGAAGGUACAGAACGGUUUAGUGUUGUGAGGGAGGUACAGAACGGUUUAGUGUUGUGAGGGAGGUACAGAACGGUUUAGUGUUGUGAGGGAGGUACAGAAUGGUUUAGUGUUGUGAGGGAGGUACAGAACGGUUUAGUGUUGUGAGGGAGGUACAGAACGGUUUAGUGUUGUGAGGGAGGUACAGAACGGUUUAGUGUUGUGAGGGAGGUACAGAACGGUUUAGUGUUGUGAGGGAGGUACAGAACGGUUUAGUGUUGUGAGGGAGAUACAGAACGGUUUAGUGUUGAAAGGAGAGAGAGGGAGGUACAGAACGGUUUAGUGUUGUGAGGGAGGUACAGAACGGUUUAGUGUUGAGAGGGAGGUACAGAACGGUUUAGUGUUGUGAGGGAGGUACAGAACGGUUUAGUGUUGUGAGGGAGGUACAGAACGGUUUAGUGUUGUGAGGAGAGAGAGGGAGGUACAGAACGGUUUAGUGUUGUGAGGAGAGAGAGGGAGGUACAGAACGGUUUAGUGUUGUGAGGGAGGUACAGAACGGUUUAGUGUUGAAAGGAGAGAGAGGGAGGUACAGAACGGUUUAGUGUUGUGAGGGAGGUACAGAACGGUUUAGUGUUGUGAGGGAGGUACAGAACGGUUUAGUGUUGUGAGGGAGGUACAGAACGGUUUAGUGUUGUGAGGAAGGUACAGAACGGUUUAGUGUUGUGAGGGAGGUACAGAACGGUUUAGUGUUGUGAGGGAGGUACAGAACGGUUUAGUGUUGUGAGGGAGGUACAGAACGGUUUAGUGUUGUGAGGGAGGUACAGAACGGUUUAGUGUUGUGAGGGAGGUACAGAACGGUUUAGUGUUGUGAGGGAGAUACAGAACGGUUUAGUGUUGAAAGGAGAGAGAGGGAGGUACAGAACGGUUUAGUGUUGUGAGGGAGGUACAGAACGGUUUAGUGUUGAGAGGGAGGUACAGAACGGUUUAGUGUUGUGAGGGAGGUACAGAACGGUUUAGUGUUGAGAGGGAGGUACAGAACGGUUUAGUGUUGUGAGGGAGGUACAGAACGGUUUAGUGUUGUGAGGGAGGUACAGAACGGUUUAGUGUUGAAAGGAGAGAGAGGGAGGUACAGAACGGUUUAGUGUUGUGAGGGAGGUACAGAACGGUUUAGUGUUGUGAGGGAGGUACAGAACGGUUUAGUGUUGUGAGGGAGGUACAGAACGGUUUAGUGUUGUGAGGGAGGUACAGAACGGUUUAGUGUUGUGAGGAGAGAGAGGGAGGUACAGAACGGUUUAGUGUUGAAAGGAGAGAGAGGGAGGUACAGAACGGUUUAGUGUUGUGAGGAGAGAGAGGGAGGUACAGAACGGUUUAGUGUUGUGAGGAGAGAGAGGGAGGUACAGAACGGUUUAGUGUUGUGAGGAGAGAGAGGGAGGUACAGAACGGUUUAGUGUUGUGAGGGAGGUACAGAACGGUUUAGUGUUGAAAGGAGAGAGAGGGAGGUACAGAACGGUUUAGUGUUGUGAGGGAGGUACAGAACGGUUUAGUGUUGUGAGGGAGGUACAGAACGGUUUAGUGUUGUGAGGGAGGUACAGAACGGUUUAGUGUUGUGAGGAAGGUACAGAACGGUUUAGUGUUGUGAGGGAGGUACAGAACGGUUUAGUGUUGUGAGGGAGGUACAGAACGGUUUAGUGUUGUGAGGGAGGUACAGAACGGUUUAGUGUUGUGAGGAAGGUACAGAACGGUUUAGUGUUGUGAGGGAGGUACAGAACGGUUUAGUGUUGUGAGGGAGGUACAGAACGGUUUAGUGUUGUGAGGGAGGUACAGAACGGUUUAGUGUUGUGAGGGAGGUACAGAACGGUUUAGUGUUGUGAGGGAGGUACAGAACGGUUUAGUGUUGUGAGGGAGGUACAGAACGGUUUAGUGUUGUGAGGGAGGUACAGAACGGUUUAGUGUUGUGAGGGAGGUACAGAACGGUGUAAAUAUAAUGUGGUAUGGUUACAUUACCGUGUAGGUAUUGGUUUAUGACUGCUGAAUGUCCCUUUUUUGGGGGGUGUGGUUGGCGAAGCUGCUGUCGCCCCUGCAAUGCUCCUGUACCCCCCCCCCCAGCUCAAGCUCACCCCUGUCGUUACCGCCCCCCCUACCACUUCCUCCCCACCGGACCACCCUCCGAUUCCCUCCUCAGACAGACCCAUCUACCCCCCGUGAAGGAGCGUAUUGGAGAAUAUUGAUGUCUAAAAUAAAGUGUAUAUAUAUAUAUAUUAAGGUGGAUAUGUGAAGUGAAGAGCGUAUAGAUAUAUAUAUAUAUUAAGGUGGAUAUGUGAAGUGAAGAGCGUAUAGAUAUAUAUAUUAAGGUGGAUAUGUGAAGUGAAGAGCGUAUAGAUAUAUAUAUAUAAGGUGGGGGAGGUGUGGCAAAAUAAUGAUAUAUAAAAUCUAUAUAUAUAGUCGAUUUAACCUUUGGAGGAUCUGGGAUGUAUUGGAUAAAAUGUGUUAAUAUUGUACAUUUAGAAUAAAAACAUUAUUUAAAACAAAGAAAAGCAAUUCAAAGUCAAGACAAAUGAACUGCUUGUAUUGUGAAGUCACAAACCACUGUGAUAACUGACACGGUCUCUAACGAUGGUAUUUAACAAGACAAUGAAUACGAAAACAUCAACCACAUACCUUGUACACACACAAAAGGUGUGGUUCUGGAGCAGUUCUAUUGAGUUCCGUUGGAGUCCAUUGAGUUAUUUUGGAGUCCAUUGAGUUCCGUCGGAGUCCAUUGAGUUCCGUUGGAGCCCAUUGAGUUCCGUCGGAGCCCGUUGAGUUCUUUUGGAGUCUAUUGAGUUCUGUUGGAGUCCAUCGAGUUCCGUCGGAGCCCAUUGAGUUCUUUUGGAGCCCAUUGAGUUCUGCUGGAGCCCAUUGAGUUCCGUUGGAGCCCAUUGAGUUCCGUCGGAGCCCGUUGAGUUCCGUCGGAGCCCAUUGAGUUCUGCUGGAGCCCGUUGAGUUCCGUCGGAGCCCAUUGAGUUCUUUUGGAGUCUAUUGAGUUCUGUUGGAGUCCAUUGAGUUCCGUCGGAGCCCAUUGAGUUCCGUUGGAGCCCAUUGAGUUCUUUUGGAGCCCAUUGAGUUCUUUUGGAGCCCAUUGAGUUCUGCUGGAGCCCAUUGAGUUCCGUCGGAGCCCAUUGAGUUCCGUCGGAGCCCGUUGAGUUCUUUUGGAGUCUAUUGAGUUCUGUUGGAGUCCAUUGAGUUCCGUCGGAGCCCAUUGAGUUCUUUUGGAGCCCAUUGAGUUCUGCUGGAGCCCAUUGAGUUCCGUCGGAGCCCGUUGAGUUCCGUCGGAGCCCAUUGAGUUCCGUUGUCUCCACCAGUUCAGAUUCUCCACUGACCUGUGAACUAUACUCAAUCUUCUCUCUUUCACACUCAUCCUUUCUGAAAAGAACCUUCAGGUCCCCAAACUGAGGAGGAUGUGCUGCACUCCUCUUUCAUCUUCACCUUCUCCCUUUUAAUGGCUUUUAUUUUCUGUUGGUGGUUUUAUUUAUCUUAUUGAGAGAAAUGAUUGGUUUUAUCUACAUUGAUUGAUCUCAUUUCGAUUGGCCAUAUUAUGAUGAGAUCUACUUUGAAUGGUCAGAUUUAAAUGAGAGAUUCACUCUGAUUUGGUUCAUCCUUGGGGUGGCAGGAUGACAUCUCUGUACAGUCUGUUGGAUCAGUAUUCCUCUUCAUUUUGUUUUCAUUCCCAGGUUGAGUUACAAUCUAACGUAACCUGUGUUAAACUGUAUAGAUUGUGCAAAAAAAAAGAUGUCUGCAAGAUUACAUAAAAGAAAAACCCUAUCAAUUACAAAAAAAUAAAGUGAUUUAAAAUGUAUAAAAGAAAUUGAGAAACAAAGUUUUAAGGGACAAAUGUAAUGUUUUGUCAUGAAUGUUUUUGUUGGAAGCGGGCUACUGGACAAAGAAUCGACUGUAAUAAAGUCAUUUUGGUA